UGAUAUUUUGUUUCCACCAUGAUAUUAAAAUUAGCGAUUGGCAUGGACUAGAUGAGCAUCGGCAUCACGACCAUAGCGAUCAACCAAGCGCCGGACCUUCAGGUGGCGAUCUUCAAAGCGAUGUCGCACAGCGAGCGAGAAGCACGUACAGGAGAUCAUCAUCAUCGCGAGUCAAGUGUCCGCGCCUGGUUCAAAGGAGGUUUUCGUAUUAAAUCUGGGCUCCUUUUGGACUCUUCUCGAUUGCAGUCCUGGUUUUGUUAGUCGUUCACCAUAAUCAGCAUGAAGAUCGGGUAGAAUAGCCUGUACUGCUAUGAUUGCUUAGCUCCCCUGUGCUGCUAUUAUGUGUUAAUUGAUUUACUUUGUCCUUGAAUUGGUGACCUGUGUGUUUCUUCAACAUUUUAAUUUGAUAUUGGUUGAUAGGAAUAUGAUGUGCUUCCUAACCCCAAAGUGAUAGGAUGCUAAGGUUCUGUUGCAAUUAUGGUUAGGUCAGAAGCUUUGAAGAAUCUUGAUCAAGAAGCUUGAAAGAAAUUGGGUUUGGGGGUUUAUCCUUCUUGUGUUGUGCUAGCAUCCAAGGCACCACAUGCUCCUCCACCUGUAUGUUGAAAUGCAUCACUCAGAUGGUUUAUGCAAUGAUGGUAAUGGAAUUCUUGAAUUUGAUGUUGGCUGCCAUAUGUGUAUUCGUGAUAAAGGUGGUGGAUUUGCAAUUUAUACUGGCAUGCUGGUUCUGAUCUCCAACUGUUUGAUGAUAUGGAGGUGGGGUAUCACAUGCCAAUUUCUGACAAAGGUGGAGGUCUCACGCCUAGGCCUUCGGUGGGGUUGUUGUCUUUGUCGGUUUGUUCACUAUUGCAAACCUUAAUUGGUGAAAUGAAGGUCAAGGGGUUGACAGCACGAACUUCAUUUGCAGAUUUUGACAGCACGGACUUAUACCUGGAAGUCUGCAGUUUUACCUCCUGUGUUCAAUUUUUCCAUACCUGGUGAAUAAAGGGCAACGGAGUUGGUCAUCUACAGACGGUGGCAGGCGAUGGUGGCCAACGGUGGUGGUGGCAGGUGGCCGGCGGCGGGAGUCCGACGGUGGUGGUCGUCGAUGGGCGGUGGCGGCCAACGGUGGUGGUGGCAGGUGUCCGACAGCGAGAGUCCGGCGGUGGUGGCCGGCAGCAGGAUUCCGGCAGUGGUGGCCGGCGGUGAGAUAUGAUUGGCUAGAUAUGGACAUGUGGCAUAGUAUGCUUGCCUUAGAAGGAGUGGCAUUGUGUGUAAUUUUGAUAUGUUUUGAUGAUAUUUUUGUAAAAUUAGGUAUCACAAUUUGGUCUUUUGCCUUAUGCUAAUUAGAUGAAAUUGUAUUACUAUCUUCCAAAUUAGUAAACUAUAUUGUGUUUUAAAACUAAAGCUCCC